CCUACGGGAGGCAGCAGUGGGGAAUCUUGCGCAAUGGGCGAAAGCCUGACGCAGCGACGCCGCGUGGGGGAAGAAGGCCUUAGGGUUGUAAACCUCUUUCAGGUGGGACGAAGCCACUCGGGUUAAUAGCCCAGAGGGUGACGGUACCGCCAGAAGAAGCCCCGGCUAACUACGUGCCAGCAGCCGCGGUAAUACGUAGGGGGCAAGCGUUGUCCGGAUUUAUUGGGCGUAAAGAGCGUGUAGGCGGCUAGGUAGGUGGGUUGUGAAAACUGGAGGCUCAACCUUCAGACGUCGACCCAAACCCCCUGGCUAGAGUCCGGAAGAGGAGAGUGGAAUUCCUGGUGUAGCGGUGAAAUGCGCAGAUAUCAGGAAGAACACCCGUGGCGAAGGCGGCUCUCUGGGACGGUACUGACGCUGAGACGCGAAAGCGUGGGGAGCGAACAGGAUUAGAUACCCUGGUAGUCCACGCCGUAAACGAUGGGUGCUAGGUGUGGGGGGUGUCGAUCCCCCGUGCCGAAGCUAACGCAUUAAGCCNCCGCCNGGNGUACGGCGCGAGACGAACACGAAGAAGUAGAGCGNGAAGAGUGCGAGCGACGACGAGGGAGAGG
rnacentral:rRNA from 1 species